GCCGACUGCAAAGCCAGGGAAGGAAGUCAGACUGACAAACGACCUGAGGAGACUGAACGAAAUUGUUGAAGAUAUAGACACAGACAUUCCAAAUCCCUACAUCCUGUUAUGAAACUUGACACCAAAUCACAAGAUCUUCACGGUAAUUGACUUAUGCUCGGCAUUUCACAGUGUAAGGCUUUCCCCCGACAGCCAACACCUGUUUGGAUUUAAAUACGGGCACAAACACUUCAAAUAUCUCAGGCGGCCUCAGGGUCUUAAAAUAACACCAGCCAAUUCUAACAAUCUUUUAAGAAAAGACUUGAAACAGAUCAAAGAAAAAACCAACAGCACAAUCUUAAUCUACUGCGAUGACAUUUUGGUUGCUGCACAGGACAGAGAAACAUGCCACAAGGACUCAAUCACGCUUUUAACCCACUUAGCCGAAGGGGGACAUAGAGCAUCACUGGCGAAAUUACAGUACUGCCAAGGAAAAGUUGAAUACUUAGGCAGGCGGAUUUCACAGGGAGAAAAAGCCACACCCCCUUCACAGAUCGAAGCAAUUACAAAAAUGCCAAAGCCGAGAACAGUUAAAGAAAUGAUGACGUUUCUAGGAAUGGCAGCAUACAAUUUAGACUGGAUCGAUAAGUGCACAGUCAUUAUUAAACCAUUGAGAGACCUCAUAAAAGAAGAAGAUGUUCGUAAUCCAAAACAUCCUUGUGUGUCACUGGGUAUUUUAGACGUUGAGUUCUUUGGGAUUAAGUUAAGUUGGAGUGUUUGUGUUAGAGCUGGGCUAGGUUAACGUUUUAUGUUGUGACAACAGUCACCUUAGUUAUGGAUCUGCUUCUUUUAUUUGGUUUUUAGCUCACCACCAAGUGGCGGUUGGGUUUCAUUACACUCGGUGUGUGUUUGAUAUAGGGUUUAGUUGUUCUUUUUGCAGGUCCGCUAACCCCAGCUCAUCUUUUAUUUUAAAGGUGGUCAUUCAGUAUCAGGGGAAAUGUACAUGAGAAGGGCUUUUAUUUUAACUUACCAUCUAUCUAUACCCCUGAGUCGGGUCGUACAGCAAUACAGACGACACCAACAAUAGCAAUAGCAGAUUAUAACAUGCCAUUUUGGGCUAUGCGCCUCAUGACGGAACAAUCAUGCAUGCAGAGUCCUAGUACAAAAUAGGAUAGGCAAGAGUACACAAUACAUAACCUAUUACGCAAUAGCUCUGUCACCAGUAGAAAUCGGACUCCCAACAGGUUGUAUACAACUGGCAGCAGUACAUCUGAUCUAUGGGAAAAAGCCUAGGUUAUUACCAGGGGGUACAGGGUAGAUUAAUUAAAGAUCCGAUUUAGAAGCUAAAGAGUUAUACUGGGCACAUGAGAAACUUUUCAUGGAUGGCUCAUGCCACAGAACAUUAAAAGGUUGGCAUCGGGAUGUGCUGUGGUCCGACACGACCCUCAAACAAACAGGUUCAAGGUUCAGAAGCGCGAAAAGCUCCACAACUAUGCUCCGCGUAAAAAGCAGAACUUAAAGCGUUAAUCCGAGCAUGCGAACUAGCAGAGGGGAAACAAGUAACGAUGUACACGAACUCCGCGUACUGCCACUCCAUUGUACAGUUGUUCACAGAAAUGUGGAAGAACCGCGGCUUCCAAAGAUCCGACGGGACAUCUGUACAACACGCGGAAGAAAUUAAUUUAAACUAAUGAAACCAAAAACUAUUGCAAUAAGUGAAAUGCGCCGUGCACGUAAAACGGGAUCGGCAAACAAGCAGCUGCCGGGAGCCUGCAGGCCGUGACUGAGACAGUGACUUUUGACCUGGAAGACAAACUUACCAUAAGAGACGUUGUGCUGGUGCGACAGAAUGCACCUGACACACAAAAAGACUGGUGGAGGCCAGAGGGGAGCACAGAUGGACAAUGAACAGGUAUGACGGACUCAUGACGGACUAUUGUGCUCCCAGACGACCUUAUGACUUAUUGCUAAGGGAAGGUCAUCCAGUGAGUCAUGACUCCAAAUUUCAGGUAAGAGAAAGGAUCCACAACUAGGGUUUUCUGGGGAUACAACCUGCAUGCUCAUGUGGAGAACUACAUAGCACGGUGAGAGGUUUUUAUAAAAAACAAUGUUCGAAAGUCCCUGGAACCAACCCCAGGAACUUUCCCUUUGAGAGGCCCCUUUUUGGAACAGGUGAUCGAUUUCAUCGACAUAAUACAAAAGUCCAAGGAAAGAGGUAUGUUUUGGCGGCCGUAUGCAGAUUUACGAAGUGGGUGGAGGCCACUCCGACCUGCCGUAAAUCAGCCAAGGUGGUCGCACAACUUCUGAACAGAGAAGUCAUCCCCCGUUUUGGAAUUCCAGAUCGGAUUUCAUCCGAUAACGGGAGGAAGUUGUUG